rnacentral:rRNA from 1 species
AAUGGGCGAAAGCCUGACGGAGCAACGCCGCGUGAGGGAUGAAGGCCUGUGGGCUGUAAACCUCUUUUAUCAAGGAAGAAGAUCUGACGGUACUUGAUGAAUAAGCCACGGCUAAUUCCGUGCCAGCAGCCGCGGUAAUACGGGAGUGGCAAGCGUUAUCCGGAAUUAUUGGGCGUAAAGCGUCCGCAGGCGGCCCUUCAAGUCUGCUGUUAAAAAGUGGAGCUUAACUCCAUCAUGGCAGUGGAAACUGUUGGGCUUGAGUGUGGUAGGGGCAGAGGGAAUUCCCGGUGUAGCGGUGAAAUGCGUAGAUAUCGGGAAGAACACCAGUGGGGAAGGCGCUCUGCUGGGCCAUCACUGACGCUCAUGGACGAAAGCCAGGGGAGCGAAAGGGAUU